GACGAACGCUGGCGGCGUGCUUAACACAUGCAAGUCGAACGGAAAGGCCCAGCUUUUGUGGGGUGCUCGAGUGGCGAACGGGUGAGUAACACGUGAGUAACCUGCCCUUGACUUUGGGAUAACUUCAGGAAACUGGGGCUAAUACCGGAUAGGAGCUCCUGCUGCAUGGUGGGGGUUGGAAAGUUUCGGCGGUUGGGGAUGGACUCGCGGCUUAUCAGCUUGUUGGUGGGGUAGUGGCUUACCAAGGCUUUGACGGGUAGCCGGCCUGAGAGGGUGACCGGCCACAUGGGGACGGAGAUACCGCCCAGACUCCUGCGGGAGGCAGCAGGGGGGAAUAGUGCACAAUGGGCGGAAGCCUGAUGCAGCAACGCCGCGGGCGGGAUGACGGCCUUCGGGUUGUAAACCGCUUUCGCCUGUGACGAAGCGUGAGUGACGGUAAUGUGUAAAGAAGCACCGGCUAACUACGUG
rnacentral:rRNA from 1 species